AGCGAACGCUGGCGGCAGGCCUAACACAUGCAAGUCGAGCGCCCAGUAAUGGGAGCGGCAGACGGGAUAGUAACACGUGGGAACGUACCUUUCAGUUCGGAACAACCAAGGGAAACUUCGGCUAAUACCGAAUACGCCCGUAAGGGGAAAGACUUAUCGCUGAAAGAUCGGCCCGCGUCUGAUUAGCUAGUUGGUGAGGUAAUGGCUCACCAAGGCGACGAUCAGUAGCUGGUCUGAGAGGAUGAUCAGCAUCACUGGGACUGAGACACGGCCCAGACUCCUACGGGAGGCAGCAGUGGGGAAUAUUGGACAAUGGGCGCAAGCCUGAUCCAGCCAUGCCGCGUGAGUGAUGAAGGCCUUAGGGUUGUAAAGCUCUUUCGUCAGGGAAGAUAAUGACGGUACCUGAAGAAGAAGCCCCGGCUAACUUCGUGCCAGCAGCCGCAGUAACAC
rnacentral:rRNA from 1 species